GGGUCGGUAUCCAAGCGGCUGAAGGGAGUAGUCUCCAAAACUACCGGCAGCAAUGCCCGCGUGGGUUCAAAUCCUACCCGGCCCGCCA
rnacentral:tRNA from 1 species